rnacentral:rRNA from 5 species
CCUGAUGACCAUAGCGUGUCGGUACCACCCCUUCCCAUCCCGAACAGGACCGUGAAACGACUCCACGCCGAUGAUAGUGCGGAUUGCCCGUGUGAAAGUAGGUAAUCGUCAGGC